CCUUGCCCACCGUCGGUUUCUGGAGUCUGCGGGUGGGUGUUUAGAUAGCGCCAUCCGUUGCGGCGUUUAGAGUCCACCAACAGGUGAUGUCCUAGGGCACUUGUCUUUGCCUUUCUGGCUUCCUUCGCUUAGUAUGAGGGUCUCUCGUUCCAGCCCCGCGGCGGCAGAUGGCACUCGUUCUGCCGCUUUUUCCUGGCUGUGUGCGAUGCCAUCGCAUGGAUGUCCCCGGGCCUUCGAAGUGCACUCACCUGUCAGUGGACCUUUAGGUGGCUUCCAGAUCUUGGCUCUGCCCCGCGGCGGCAGAUGGCACUCGUUCUGCCGCUUUUUCCUGGCUGUGUGCGAUGCCAUCGCAUGGAUGUCCCCGGGCCUUCGAAGUGCACUCACCUGUCAGUGGACCUUUAGGUGGCUUCCAGAUCUUGGCUCUGCCCCGCGGCGGCAGAUGGCACUCGUUCUGCGCUUUUUCCUGGCUGUGUGCGAUGCCAUCGCAUGGAUGUCCCCGGGCCUUCGAAGUGCACUCACCUGUCAGUGGACCUUUAGGUGGCUUCCAGAUCUUGGCUCUGGUGAGUAGUGCGGCGACAGACAGAGGGGUGCCCGGGUCUGCUUCCGGGAAAGUUUGGUCCCGGUGAAAUGGAGCUGUUUG
rnacentral:lncRNA from 1 species